UUUGGAGGUAGUAUACAAAGUAUGCUUGUCUUACACACAAGAGGUGUUAUUAAUUGGCCCUCUGAAAC
rnacentral:tRNA from 1 species